rnacentral:rRNA from 1 species
UACGGAGGGAGCUAGCGUUGUUCGGAAAUACUGGGCGUAAAGCGCACGUAGGCGGCGCAGCAAGUCAGGGGUGAAAUCCCGGGGCUCAACCCCGGAACUGCCCUUGAAACUGCAGUGCUAGAAUCUUGGAGAGGCGAGUGGAAUUCCGAGUGUAGAGGUGAAAUUCGUAGAUAUUCGGAAGAACACCAGUGGCGAAGGCGACUCGCUGGACAAGUAUUGACGCUGAGGUGCGAGAGCGUGGGGAGCAAACAGG